AAUAGAUAAAAUGUCACAAUUCGGACUGAUGGGCGCCAGCAGCAACCACACAGACGCGAGUUGUGGCGGACAGCCAAUGUUCUGGAGAAAAUGUCUGAUUUAAGCGACUUUUUACGUGCCAGAAGAGUACCAGAAGCGUCCAUUGCACUAAUGGAAGAACAAAAGGAUGACCUUGAUGAUGUUGUGAACACAUGGAACUCACAAAAUCCGGGCAAGUGGGGGUGCAGUAUCGGGCCGACCUGUGGUGAUGUACUCAUUUCCAGAGCUGCACAGGGCUGAGGAUAGACUGAAACCUGUUUCUCUGGAUGAGGUCACUGUGUGUAUGGAAGAGUGUACACCAAAAGGUCCAUAUCCCUGUGAUGAAACAGUCUUUGAACUUUGUUGUCUGCUUAUGGUAGAACGCAACUUGGGGGCCUCAAGAGAUCCACUUAUUGCUGCUGAUUUGUAUAUAAGGUUAAGAGAAGAAAUUCUUCAAAGUAUUUAGCAACUUUCAGUGUGCAUAAAUAUCAUUUAAAAAGUGUUGCUAUUUAUCUCCAUCAUGCCAUUGGAUAGUGUUUGCAAUGUGAUAGGUGCCCUCUAAACAGGGCUUCCUGCUCUACAUCUAAUUAAAGAAUGAAAAGUAUGCAAGCAAACAGAACCUUUUUGACAUCAUUUUACCAGAACAUGAAAGUUUAUUGCUGUCAUUGUUUGUUUGUCGAGUUCUGAUAUGACCUGACAUUAAUGUACAAGCUGUUACUGUGCUGAUAAAAAUUAAAAUUGCAGUUUGGUUGACAAGAUUUCCUAACCCAUAGUUUGUUUUGCUUUCAGUCAUUUGAAGGAACAAUGCUGAUGCAAAGUUAUUCAAUGAUAAUCAGUUAUGAACCAAAUGUCAGUCCUUUUAAACGGGUAUGCAUUGUGAUUCAUAUAUAUUUUUUUUGUUUAAAACAAAAUGCUGUUCUGUUAAAGAUAUUGUAAGUAUGGUUGAGAUGUGAACAAAAUGGCAGAAGAGCAAAAAGGAUGUCAUAAAUUGAACACAAGGAAAACAAUUGUCUGUGAAAUAAAAAUGAACUUCAA